GACCGCACGGGACAAUUAUCCCGUGCGGUCGGGUUAAGUGGACCGCACGGGAAGAUGUAUUUUUCCGUGCGGUU
rnacentral:pre_miRNA from 11 species